CUGCUCACCAGGGCUGGGUCCUCUCCAUGUGGUCUUGACCCACCCUCUGAGCAAGAGAAUUGGGACUGGUUUGGGGGUAUCCUGUCCAAGUGUGCACAGGACACCACGGUUUCCAGUACAACA
ensembl:scaRNA